rnacentral:rRNA from 1 species
CCUACGGGUGGCAGCAGUGAGGAAUAUUGGUCAAUGGCCGAGAGGCUGAACCAGCCAAGUCGCGUGAGGGAAGACGGCCCUACGGGUUGUAAACCUCUUUUGUCGGGGAGCAAAGCGAGUCACGUGUGACUCAUUGAGAGUACCCGAAGAAAAAGCAUCGGCUAACUCCGUGCCAGCAGCCGCGGUAAUACGGAGGAUGCGAGCGUUAUCCGGAUUUAUUGGGUUUAAAGGGUGCGCAGGCGGAGGUGCAAGUCAGCGGUCAAAUUGCGGGGCUCAACCGCGGAACUGCAUUUGAAACUGUUUUUCUUGAGUACCGGAGAGGUCAUCGGAAUUCCUUGUGUAGCGGUGAAAUGCGUAGAUAUAAGGAAGAACACCAGUGGCGAAGGCGGAUGACUGGACGGCAACUGACGGUGAGGCGCGAAAGCGUGGGGAGCAAACAGGAUUAGAUACCCCUGUAGUC